rnacentral:lncRNA from 1 species
AUCUCAACAACCUAACUACUAAGUGUUUCCCGUUUGAAGGAAAACAACUCAUCAGCCACUCCCUUUGGAUAUUUACUUUGUGAAUUUUGACAUGUCUCUGGAUUAUGAUCUUGAAUUUUCCUUAUCAUCAAAGCACCACUUGUUCCACUAGGAAAAGGACAAGCUUAUUAGUAUGUUAUUUGGCAAUUUAUUUUGAUCCUUAUGACAAUCAAAUAUCUUAUCUAAAAAGAUUAGCUAGAAGGUGUUAUAUGUCUGGAUUCCUUAAUCCUAUAUUAAGUCCCA